rnacentral:lncRNA from 1 species
UUACCUGGCAUUUUCGAAACCAUUUCACUGCUCAAGUUAUUAGUUACAUAGUACACAGCCGUAACUAAUCCAAUGAAAACAACGGAAGUAGUUGUUAGCAAAAUAAAUCGAAAUUUCCAUCCUUCCAUGGCAUUUUUGAAUGUAUUUCGGUGAAAUUCAGCGUAUAAAUGUUCUUGGUCUGGUUUUUGAGUGCUUUCAUAAAUUCCUUCGCUGAAAACUGGGUUAACAUUUGAUCCCAUUGCAAAUGUUAUGAAAGAAU